rnacentral:rRNA from 1 species
AUUGAACGCUGGCGGCAUGCCUUACACAUGCAAGUCGAACGGUAACAGGUCUUCGGAUGCUGACGAGUGGCGAACGGGUGAGUAAUACAUCGGAACGUGCCCGAUCGUGGGGGAUAACGGAGCGAAAGCUUUGCUAAUACCGCAUACGAUCUACGGAUGAAAGCAGGGGACCGCAAGGCCUUGCGCGGACGGAGCGGCCGAUGGCAGAUUAGGUAGUUGGUGGGAUAAAAGCUUACCAAGCCGACGAUCUGUAGCUGGUCUGAGAGGACGACCAGCCACACUGGGACUGAGACACGGCCCAGACUCCUACGGGAGGCAGCAGUGGGGAAUUUUGGACAAUGGGCGAAAGCCUGAUCCAGCCAUGCCGCGUGCAGGAUGAAGGCCUUCGGGUUGUAAACUGCUUUUGUACGGAACGAAAAGACUCCUUCUAAUAAAGGGGGUCCAUGACGGUACUGUAAGAAUAAGCACCGGCUAACUACGUG